rnacentral:tRNA from 2 species
GGCGGUGUAGCUCAGGGGUUAGAGCAGUGGAAUCAUAAUCCAUGUGUCGGCAGUUCAAAUCUGCCCUCCGCUACCA